GUAAACGCUGGCGGCAGGCCUAACACAUGCAAGUCGAGCGGCAGCGCGGGGGCAACCCUGGCGGCGAGCGGCGGACGGGUGAGGAAUUCGUCGGAAUCUGCCUUUUUGUGGGGGAUAACGUAGGGAAACUUACGCUAAUACCGCAUACGUCCUACGGGAGAAAGUGGGGGACCGCAAGGCCUCACGCAGAAAGAUGAGCCGACGACCGAUUAGCUAGUUGGUGGGGUAAAGGCCCACCAAGGCGACGAUCGGUAGCUGGUCUGAGAGGAUGAUCAGCCACACUGGGACUGAGACACGGCCCAGACUCCUACGGGAGGCAGCAGUGGGGAAUAUUGGACAAUGGGCGCAAGCCUGAUCCAGCCAUGCCGCGUGUGUGAAGAAGGCCUUCGGGUUGUAAAGCACUUUUGUCCGGAAAGAAAUCCCUGGAGCUAAUACCUUCGGGGGAUGACGGUACCGGAAGAAUAAGCACCGGCUAACUUCGUG
rnacentral:rRNA from 1 species